rnacentral:misc_RNA from 1 species
UGAUUCCAGAGAGAACUUCACCUGUUCAAAGAGGUGUCAAUUCAAACGUUCAGUUCUAGUAUGGUCCUACAAUAGAAGCUAAAAAUCUCAAACAUUCUUAUGAAAUAAGCUAUAAAGGACUGAACCGCUGGCAGCAUGAAAGGUCUUAAUUCAUAUAUAACCAAAAUGUCAAAAACUAGCAUACUGUGAUCCUUAGUCAUAACAAAAAUCUCACUCACAACAUUACACUCCCCUUUGAAACCAUUCUUGUUCUCGAGAGUGGAUAAAAGACAUAUCAUCCCAGCAACAUUUUGGAUGUGAAGGUCCAAUCUGCACUUUAAAAUGGCUGAAAUUGCACUUAACCAUUUUAUUCAACUGGUAAGGCAUUUUUUCAAACACCUACUGUGCAUCUUCCCUCUCCAAUGAUAGAAUCAUUUUCAUCCUCCUUCUCCACUUCUCAUACUCAUUUUCUUUCAAGGGCAUAAUGUCUAAGGAUAACAACUCAAAAUCAUAGCCCCUCAACUUAAACUCGAAACAAUAAGCAUAAUGCAUGCAUGUUCUUUUUCCACCAAAAUCUUUCUUUGUCCUUUCCAAAAUUUUUCCCAAAGAGAGCAAACCUAUCGAUUUGAUAUAGAAUUUCCAGAUUAUGAAUUAACUGGCUAAUCUUACCAUCUUGGACUGCUGCACUCAAAACUUGAUCUAUUUCCUCAAGUUUUAAAAUUGCAUUUACCUUGUUACUUAUUUUCUUAAUGAUACCCUUCUUCAAUGCAAGAAUUUAGAUUAUUGGCAAGGUCUUGAUCAUCAUUCCCAUAAUAAAAUUGGAAAUUUCAGAAAAGUUCAUGACCCUGCUCUUCUUCUCUCAAUUUGGAACAUUCCAAAGGCUUAAAGAUUGGUUGGCACUCUCGUAACUCGUAAGGGACAGUUUCUUGUAUCUGAUUAUCAAAUCUUUGUUGACAUUUUGCUUUUAUCCGUUGAUUAAACUCUUCCAUUCUCCAUAGAUUUUCUUCUCGAACUGCCACAAACAUCUUGCAAUUAUCUUGAAAAAUUUGUUGGAUCUCCAUCUUAAAGGAUUGAAACAAAUGUUGUAAUUGUUUGAGUUGAUUCUCAAGAAUCAUGCAUGUUAUUUUAUCGUCCUUGGUUGCUUGUUCCAGAUUAAAAAUAGAAUUUAGGAGAGGAAUGAAGAAGAGUAUAUAGAAGAGAAAGAAUGAGAAAAGAAGAGAAAGGGAGAGAAAAGAGAAGAAAUUUGGCGAGGAAACUAUUAGAAUGUUCUUUUAUACACUGAAAACUGCCCUUCCACCAGAUCUAACUGCUGGCUUCCCCCAUUUCUGCUCCUUUCUAACAGUUUUAACAAACUUUCAUCAGCUAACAUCUUUUCCUUCCAUUUCAUUUUCCUUCCAUUUCAAUUAGACUAGUAGCUAGGUCUUACCAAAAUCAAAUUGUGUGACAGUUUGAGUUUUUCCUCUCAGGACAUUGACUUUAGCAGAUUCCUCAACCUGAUCACUAAGAGCAAGAUUAUGUUAGCGAAAGCUUCCAAACAAGCAACUAAGGUCAAGGUCCUCAUUGUGCUGGAACCAAGUACUAAGUUUCUCCACAGUGGCUUGACUUCAAUGAUUCAAGAUCCCUGUAUUCAAGAGAUCAGAGGCAAAAGAAAAGGGGAAAGAAAGCCAACUCCCUGCAUGUCCAAUUCCAUCACCUUUGAUCCUUGACUCGAGGAGAGGAAAUGAAGACAAAUUAAAGAGAGGGAAACGAAGGGAGAAGGACAAAAGUA